GGCCGGUUAGCUCAGUUGGUUAGAGCGUGGUGCUAAUAAUGCCAAGAUCGUGGGUUCGAUCCCCAUACUGGCCA
rfam:Salmo salar isolate Sally breed double haploid chromosome ssa27, whole genome shotgun sequence.